rnacentral:rRNA from 1 species
AAGCAUAUUACUAGGCGGAGGAAAAGAAACUAACCAGGAUUCCCUCAGUAAGGGCGACUGAAGCGGGAAUAGCCCAGCAUGUGAAUCGAUGUUUCGGCAUCGAAUUGUGGUCUAAAGAAUCUUGUGUCAAUGACUGGGUCAAGUCCCUUGGAAUAGGGCGGCAGAGAGGGUGAGACCCCCGUUUACCUAGUCUAUGAAGCAAGUUUCCAUGAGUCGAGUUGUUUGGGAUUGCAGCUCAAAGUGGGUGGUAAAUUCCAUCUAAGGCUAAAUACUGGUGGGAGACCGAUAGCAAACAAGUACCGUGAGGGAAAGAUGCAAAGAACUUUGAAAAGAGAGUUAAAGAGUACCUGAAAUUGCUGAAAGGGAAGCGAAGGAAAUCAGUGAUAACUUGUUCACAUUUUUCUGUCUGCUUGCAGAUGGAACGCUGUGGCCUUGUUGCGUCAAUCUUAGUUGUGCGAGGUGCAAAUGCGUCGAGGGAGUUGACCAAGACUUGCUGGACCCAGUGCGACCGAAAGAUGACGAAAUGGUUUUCUUCUCCCCGUCUUGAA